AGUGAACGCUGGCGGUAGGCCUAACACAUGCAAGUCGAACGGCAGCACAGUAAGAGCUUGCUCUUACGGGUGGCGAGUGGCGGACGGGUGAGGAAUACAUCGGAAUCUACUUUUUCGUGGGGGAUAACGUAGGGAAACUUACGCUAAUACCGCAUACGACCUACGGGUGAAAGCAGGGGAUCUUCGGACCUUGCGCGAUUGAAUGAGCCGAUGUCGGAUUAGCUAGUUGGCGGGGUAAAGGCCCACCAAGGCGACGAUCCGUAGCUGGUCUGAGAGGAUGAUCAGCCACACUGGAACUGAGACACGGUCCAGACUCCUACGGGAGGCAGCAGUGGGGAAUAUUGGACAAUGGGCGCAAGCCUGAUCCAGCCAUACCGCGUGGGUGAAGAAGGCCUUCGGGUUGUAAAGCCCUUUUGUUGGGAAAGAAAAGCAGCAGGUUAAUACCCCGCUGUUCUGACGUUACCAAAAGAAUAAGCACCGGCUAACUUCGUG
rnacentral:rRNA from 1 species